rnacentral:rRNA from 1 species
UGGGGAAUAUUGGACAAUGGGCGAAAGCCUGAUCCAGCCAUGCCGCGUGUGUGAAGAAGGUCUUCGGAUUGUAAAGCACUUUAAGUUGGGAGGAAGGGCAGUUACCUAAUACGUGAUUGUUUUGACGUUACCGACAGAAUAAGCACCGGCUAACUCUGUGCCAGCAGCCGCGGUAAUACAGAGGGUGCAAGCGUUAAUCGGAAUUACUGGGCGUAAAGCGCGCGUAGGUGGUGUGUUAAGUUGGAUGUGAAAUCCCCGGGCUCAACCUGGGAACUGCAUUCAAAACUGACUGACUAGAGUAUGGUAGAGGGUGGUGGAAUUUCCUGUGUAGCGGUGAAAUGCGUAGAUAUAAGAAGGAACACCAGUGGCGAAGGCGACCACCUGGACUAAUACUGACACUGAGGUGCGAAAGCGUGGGGAGCAAACA